rnacentral:lncRNA from 1 species
UUGGACUUCUUUUUUUUUUUUUUUUUUAAUUUUUAUUUAUUUAUGAUAGUCACAGAGAGAGAGAGAGAGAGGGAGGCAGAGACACAGGCAGAGGGAGAAGCAGGCUCCAUGCACCGGGAGCCCAACGUGGGAUUCGAUCCCGGGUCUCCAGGAUCGCGCCCUGGGCCAAAGGCAGGCGCCAAACCGCUGCGCCACCCAGGGAUCCCUAGCUUGGACUUCUUUCUGCCACUUUUAGCUUUUUUUUUUUUUUUUUUUGUAGCCUUAUAAACAUGGAUUAAAGAAGGGAUCCCCUUUUCAGUAGGAAGGGUCUUCUCCUAGCAAUUCAUUUAACUGCCAAUUCAGAAGCUUUGAAUUGAAAGACUAAAGGCUCGAAGAUGUAGCUUAGGGGCUCCAAGGUGGCAGCAGGUCAGCCCACUCCAGAACAGGUACUGAGUCUGCCUGUCCAAAUCAUGUCCCUGCCCCCAUCAUAAUGUUGUAUUCAGAGAGGGCAAAGGGCACCCUUACAAUGGAGAAACUUGGGAUGAUGCCACCUUAAAAAUGAUCAAACUUAUCACCACCAAUAAUGAGAGAAACCGAUACCUUAUGCCUCCUGAUAAGAUGCACUGAGAAAGAAACAUCACCUAUGUGGUAUUCCUGUCCAAAAUAUUUAGCCUGAAUUUAAUCAUGAGGAAACAAUCAGACAAAUCCAAACUGGGGGACAUUUUGUUGCCUGGGUUUUCCAAAACUCAUGAAAAAAAUAAAAAUAAAUAAAUAAAAAAGCUUGAGAACUAUUCCAAAAUAAAGGAGAUUAAAAAUACAAAAUAAAUACAAGGAAAGAUCUUGGAUUUGGGGUGAGAGAGGGCAGUUAUAAAGAACAUUAUUGGGACAAUUGAAGGGUUUUGAAUAUGAACUCAUACAUCAGGCAAAUGUUAAAGUUCCUGAAAGUGAUCAUCACACAGUGCAGUACAGACAUGUCCUUGUUCUUAAAAGAUAACUGCGGAAGUAUUUCGGGAUGAAGUGUCAUUUAUGUCAGCAACUAACACACAAGUGUUUCAAAAAGAGAAAGGGAGAGAUCAACCCAGUGUGGAAAUAGUUACAAAUUGUUCAUCUGUGUCAGAGUACACAGCAUUCAUUGCAACAGUGAAAUUUGCUGGACAGUUUUAAAUUC